rnacentral:rRNA from 1 species
UACGAAGGGGGCUAGCGUUGCUCGGAAUUACUGGGCGUAAAGCGCACGUAGGCGGGUCGCUAAGUCGGGGUGAAAUCCUGGAGCUCAACUCCAGAACUGCCUUCGAAACUGACGAUCUUGAGUUCGGGAGAGGUGAGUGGAACUGCGAGUGUAGAGGUGAAAUUCGUAGAUAUUCGCAAGAACACCAGUGGCGAAGGCGGCUCACUGGCCCGAUACUGACGCUGGAGGUGCGAAAGCGUGG